rnacentral:rRNA from 1 species
UUUCCGUAGGUGNACCUGCGGAGGGAUCAUUACAGAGUUCAUGCCCUCCGGGUAGAUCUCCCACCCACUGCUAUCACUACUCUCGUUGCUUUGGCGGGCCGCUGGGCCCUGCCCGGCCGCCGGCCCCGGCUGGCGCGUGCCCGCCAGAGACCUCACAGACUCUGAAUGUUAGUGUCGUCCGAGUAACUAUAUAAUCGUUAAAACUUUCAACAACGGAUCUCUUGGUUCUGGCAUCGAUGAAGAACGCAGCGAAAUGCGAUAAGUAAUGCGAAUUGCAGAAUUCAGUGAGUCAUCGAAUCUUUGAACGCACAUUGCGCCCUGUGGUAUUCCGCAGGGCAUGCCUGUUCGAGCGUCAUUUCAACCCUCAAGCCUCGCUUGGUGUUGGGCCCUGCCCGUCGCGGCCGGCCCUAAAGAUAGUGGNGGCGCCACCUGGCCCUCAGCGUAGUACAGCUCUCGCUCCAGGGUCCGGCGGCAACCUGCCAGAACCCCCCAACUCUGUGNAGACCUCGAUCAGGAGGAACCCGCGAAUA